UUUGCAUUAAUUGAGUCAUGUUCGGCUCUUCCUGCACUGUCGGAGUAUUUUCAGUAGGGUCAAUGAUUUCUUCCUGCUGAGAUGUGCCACUAUUCAAUUGGAGAGUGUUAUCAUUAAGUGGAUUUGAUGUCCCUCCUCCCGCUCCUUGAGUAUUCUUCAUUCGUCGUGGAGGCAUAUUGAUCUAUGACAAAUUUGAGAUGAUAACUUAUCCUUAAUAAAGUUAUAAACUUAUUUAAGACAGGUC
rnacentral:lncRNA from 1 species